UACGUAGGGUGCAAACGUUGCUCGGAAUCACUGGGCGUAAAGGGCGUGUAGGCGGGAAGGUAAGUCGGGCGUGAAAUCCCGGAGCUCAACUCCGGAACUGCACUUGAUACUGCCUUGCUUGAGUACUGGAGAGGAGACUGGAAUUUACGGUGUAGCAGUGAAAUGCGUAGAUAUCGUAAGGAAGACCAGUGGCGAAGGCGGGUCUCUGGACAGUUCCUGACACUGAGGCACGAAGGCCAGGGGAGCAAACGGG
rnacentral:rRNA from 1 species